UAAUCCUAAAAUAUGACCCGACCUUCCUAUGUAUAUUACAUAUACCCAAAUGUUUAGGGUUUCCUAAUCCAUAGUUUAUCCGCCACAUCCCUCCAAAACCUAAGAAAGUAUUGUCUUUGCCGGUGUUCAACCAUUGUUUCCUCUUGAAAAUGUUCUAGAUGUGCUCUCCGGUUGUUGGGAAUGUUAAACCUUUUUGAUGCUUCAUUGAUUUUUUUGAUCCCUGAAAGUAACUACACAUCCAAUUAUGGCCGACAGGGAGAUGAAGAGAUGAUUGAAACCGCAAGUAGUUGGAUUGUAUUCUUCUCUAUAGGUGUAUAACUUGCACAAUUUUAUAAACCCUCCCCUGCACUGUGAGUCCUUUGUGCUGGCUACAUUAGAAUAGGAUAAAUAGCUAUGUAUGACAUUUGAUAAAACUGUGUUAUGUAAAUACUUGCAUAUGGACAAGUAUAUCUGUAGCUUUUUCAGCCUUUUCACCCCUUUGCUGGUUACACUCUUAUGUAUGGACAUUGAAUUUUAUCACUAUUUAGAAUCUUCUUGGCUAUUAUUUCC